rnacentral:tRNA from 1 species
GGUGGGUUGGCUCAGUGGUUAGAGCGUAGGUCUCGUAACCGAAAGGUUUCGGGAUCGAAUCCCGCUAGAGGCUG